rnacentral:tRNA from 1 species
CCCUGUUUAGCUCAGUUGGUAGGGGGCUCCUCCUGUAAUGGCGAAGGCCCGGGUUCGAUACCCGGACCAGGCG